rnacentral:rRNA from 1 species
AGUGAACGCUGGCGGUAGGCCUAACACAUGCAGGUCGAACGGCAGCACAGUAAGAGCUUGCUCUUUCGGGUGGCGAGUGGCGGACGGGUGAGGAAUACAUCGGAAUCUACUUUUUCGUGGGGGAUAACGUAGGGAAACUUACGCUAAUACCGCAUACGACCUACGGGUGAAAGCAGGGGAUCUUCGGACCUUGCGCGAUUGAAUGAGCCGAUGUCGGAUUAGCUAGUUGGCGGGGUAAAGGCCCACCAAGGCGACGAUCCGUAGCUGGUCUGAGAGGAUGAUCAGCCACACUGGAACUGAGACACGGUCCAGACUCCUACGGGAGGCAGCAGUGGGGAAUAUUGGACAAUGGGCGCAAGCCUGAUCCAGCCAUACCGCGUGGGUGAAGAAGGCCUUCGGGUUGUAAAGCCCUUUUGUUGGGAAAGAAAAGCAGCAGGUUAAUACCCCGCUGUCCUGACGGUACCCAAAGAAUAAGCACCGGCUAACUUCGUG